AGAAGACGAAAUUUUACUCUGUUCCCAAGCUGACCUCAGACUUGCAGAAAGACUCCUGCUUCUACCCCCCAAGUGCUGGAAUUACAGCUCUCCUGACUUGGUGGUGAGUGGCCUAAGCACAUGAAGAAGACCUGACCCACUUGAGCACUUAGAUCCACACAAAUCCAAUCAGGUCCUGGAAACUCCCAAAGAAGCCUGGCCUUGGCGAUGACCUAUACAAAUGAAAGUAACGUUGUUAUGAAGUUUCCUCUUCAAGGAGAGUAAUUACAUCACAGCCAUUUCUUAUCCUAUUAGAUUACGGCCAGCUGCCUCUAAAAAUAAAAGCACUCUGCAUUUACUAUA